GGCCCCGCCCCCUCCGCCCGCCGCCUCUCACGCUCCUUCGAGGGCUUCCGGUUCCAGCGGGUCUUGGGCCCGGGCGUCCUCUCGCAUGGACAGGGCGGUAGAGGAGUGCGAGGCCCGGGAGAACUUGGUUAACGUUACUGGCUCUCAGAAGGGGAAUCUAUCUGAAGGAGAUGAACCCUGAAGAACCACUGAUGCCUGGAACUGUGUGUGGUACCCACAGAAUCCCUCUGUGCUCGUCACUUCCUUUGGUUCUGAGGUGUCCUCCAUCCAAGAGGCGACCAUUUGCUCCCACCCCCUCUCCUCUAACCGCAUACCUGCAAAGAACCUUCAGGAUGCUCUGAGCUCCUCUCCUUCCGAAGAGAGCCUGGGCAGAGAACACACAUCCUUCGCUGGGAAGCCUUCCGAGGGGUGAAUUGUGAAAAAGGAUGGGAGAAGGUUAUGUCCGUUGGCUAAAUUCUGGAACUAAAUUAAGCUGUGGGGUGAAGGGAAGCCACUCAGUGUCCACGUGCUCUAUAUCAAUGACCCAGUCAAAGAUUCUAAAUGCUCAAAAGACAAGAAAAAAAAAAGACAAAAAAAAAAGAUUCCAUGUGGCCUAUUUUGAGAAUUUGAGCAAAUGCUCUGCAGGGCCGUCUGAGUCAUCAGCCCAGAAAGUUCCCCAAAGUGUGGGGUCCUGGUUGCUGCCACUCCUACUGCUAUCAUUCUUCCCAUCUUCCAGAGUUCAUGGUAGGGCGGGAGGAAGAGGAAGUGGGAUGCAGGCUUGGAGAGAGAAGAGCAUAACUGGAAGGACUUUCAUCUUGGUAGAAGAUGGACGUUUAUCUUCUAGAUUUUCUUUCUGGCACAGAAGAGGGAAUCAGGCCAAGUGAAUGAUUCGUGGCCUCUUAUUCCUUUCCUUCACCCCCAUGCCAGAUCUCAAAUGCAGUUCAAUUUGGAGCAAUUUGUAAUUAGGGUCAAGGAGAUCUCCGGAUUAUUAUUACGCCCAAGAACCUGGGGCAGUGUUGUUCCUAACGCACUGCAAAUUAGCACCAAGAGACUGACUCCCUUCCCACAUGAUCCGAUUGCAUCACCCUCUCUCUCUCUCUGGACGGGCAUGCGAACAAUAGCUGCUGAAGUGAUUUUGAUGAAAUGUGACAUUUGCAGAGUGUGGCCACCGACCAAAGAAUCUGAGAUUCAGUAUCCAACAUUUCACAGGCUACAAAAUAUAAGCUGGCCAGCAUUUAUUGCUUGUACUAACAGCUCGAGCCAAGUUUCUUAAGCCUACAGAGCAGACCUCUUACUGCUGCUAAUUUUACUGUCAGCAAACAAAAGGGAAAUAGGAAAUGGAAUGGAAUGCCUGAACCAGAGCAUCUGUGGGAGCAAUAUAAACCAGAUUAUGUGAAGAGAGAGCGACUUUCUUUUUCCUAAAACUAAAAAGGACACAAUUUGCACAGACAUAAAAUGGGAAAAAAUGUAAUGUAGAGAAAGUUAGAAGCAGAGAUUCUGCUGUGGCGUCUCAGGAUGGCAUUGAUUUACAUAUUAAGGCAGUCACCAGGGAAAUGUUAAAAACCCUCUAGGGAAGAUUUCAAUAUGAUGGAUAGAACUUUAAUAUUAAUAUAGGAUUCAUCAUGAUAAUGUAAGUCAUAGAUCUAAAUCUCCUUUCAUCAGCUGAAUAGCCCCUUUCCAGCCUAUUAUACAGGUAGCACAUGCUUUAAAUAGUGUCAUGUAACAGGCCUGAAGUCUUUCUUUAUCUGCAUUUCUGAAGUUCUGUUCACAGGAAUUGUGCCCCCACCCCAGGUCAUCCAUCUUUCACUCUGUUAUCUAGGCCAUUGGCAUGUUCUCCUUAUUAAUAUUUAGAAGUCCUUAAAAUAUACUUAUAUUGUACUUUUUUCACAAAUAGAAGAAGCAUAAACAACAUAUUCAAUUUCACAUACAUGCAGUGAGUAUGAAGGGAAUUUUUGCUUCUUAAUCUAUUUGUUGAUCAUUAUACAAAGAAGAAAAGUGAUUUCUGGGUUGCUAUUUGGGGUUUGGUUAUGUAGUAUCUAAUUAUCAACCAUACGCAUGUGUAUUGUUCAUUUUACUCUGGGCUUCUUAGUCUUAUAUAACUGACAUCAAACAAAACAGUGGCAGAACCUCUCUAGAAUCCUAUAACGCAAUGACAGCCUUUUUGGAAUAAGAAAGAUUGCGGUGUUGAUACCAGCGUAAUAAAUACCAGUAAUAAUACACGUUAAGAUUCAUCGGCUGCUUUUUUCAGUAGAGAUUCAAAUAUUCAUC